UGCACUGGUGCUGCUCUGGCUGACAAGGAAUACCCCACACCCACAGACUGCUGGGAAGAUGGAGACUGUCUGCUUCCAGCUCAGAACUACAGUGUAAAUAAGCUUCCAGGAUCACUACCAUGAAAACGCCACAUUCUGCUUUACAAAUUCUACCCACGUUGGGAAAAACUGGCUUUUUCCCAUCUCUUUCCAGGGCAAAAAAACCUCAACCUAGUUGUUAUUUACCCUAGUAACUGGUGUUCUUUUUUUUUUUUUUUAGGGGGGAAAUUUGCAUUUAUUUUUCUUUUGAUGGUUAACUCCUUUGUAUUGUAAAAUUAUGAACUCUGAUAUGUAAAACAGAAAAAAAUCUUGACAACAGCUUCUUGCUUGUAAAAAUAUGUAUUAUACAGCUCUAUUUUCAAAGUCUCCUGAAAAAAUGACUGCUUAUCUCCACAUUGUAUGUGGGGCUUUGCCACUGGUCUGCAUGGACUGAGGCCCAGUGGGCAGAGGUGAUGGAAACAGGCAUGGCAGACUCAGUGUUUUUCUCACUGCUUCUCUGCAAGGAUAGAGCCACAGUGACAAGGCUCCAACUGCAAGGGCCCACUCUCCAAAAUGCUGCCUUCCUAGGGUUUGCUCUGAGAGACAGUUUGACCCCAACUCAUUCCUGCUUUUUUUCCUCUCUACUCUAUUGGCUUCAAAGUUAUUUGUUUGUUUGUUUAUUUAUUUAUUUAUUUGAAAAGAAGUUAUUUUUUUUCUUACUUUCUUUUUUCUUUCUUUUCUUCCUUUUCUUUUUUUUCUUUUUUUGAGGCAGCAUUUCAUGUAGAUCAGGCUAGCCUUGAACUUGUAGCAACCUUCCUGCCUUUGCCUCCUGAAUGCUGGGAUUAUAGGUGUAUGCCACCACUCCUCGACAGAAACCAUAUAUAUGUGUGUGUGAAUGUGUGUGUGUCCAUAGGGGAAGGGGCCAGGAGAAUGAGAUAUGUAGCCCAGGCUAGCCUCUUGUACAUCCACCUGCCAAAUGCCAUGAUUACAGGUUUGUGCCACUAUGUUUAACUAAACACAUUCUUUAUGCUCACUUUCAAUUUACAGUUUUCAGGGGACACUGUGAGGUACUAUACAGCUAGUGCUGGAUGCUGCACAGUUGAGGGGAAAGAACAAUCUUAAGAUUACAAGACAAAACGAAUCACCUACAUGAAAAGAACAAAGGAAGCAGAUUUCCAUUUUGCCACCUUUUUCUGUUCAAGUAGUACCAAACUGGAGACAAGAAGGCAAAAGUACUUCAUUAACCAAAGAACAGAGGUCACUUGACCUCUAAAAAGUUUAGGACUCAGGCUGUUCCAUUCCCUCUUAAAGAUGCCAAGAUAACCCUGGGAAGUCCAGUCCCCUAAACAUGCCUGUCAGUCAGCCUGUGCAAAUAACGCAAGAGGAGAGAAUUCAUCCAUGAGCUCAUAGGCAAUGAAGAAAAACCAAAGGAGAGUUAGUUAGCUUAGAAAGGAGAGCUGCUAUCCUAAUACAAACUGCUAGCUUCAAGAAGCAUUCCCAGUCC
rnacentral:lncRNA from 1 species